CCUGGGAGGUCAAGUCUUGGGAAAAAAAAAUACAGGAUGUGGUAAGCAUAUCUAUCCCCCAGGUUAAAGGAAGCAUGAAGGUGAGCUAGACCACUGUGAUUAGAUAAAGAAAGCAGACUCAGUGGCCUCUACACCUGCUUUUGCAUAACGUGAGACAGACCCAGAUGCACAGAGAGCUCUGAAAUGUCAUGAAGGAAGCAGAUGAAGAAGACAGUACAGGACAGAGCCCUUUUCAGAGCAACGUGAUUAAUAGCUCACUUUCAAGAACAGCAUGCAGGGUGCAUGCUUGCCCACAUGACAAAAGAUACUCAGAUACAAGCCCACAUGACAAAAGAUACUCAGAUCCAAGCACUCGCGAACUUCCAGUGUCGGGUGGUAGGAGACUACUCAUCAUUCCUCCCUCUGCUGGCGAUUUCAUGAAUAA
rnacentral:lncRNA from 1 species